rfam:Myotis lucifugus cont2.18967, whole genome shotgun sequence.
AGAGGCCCUCCGCGGCCAGGAUGGAAUGCUUGCCUCAUCGCCGCGGCGACGAAGCAAGCAUUCUGCCAGGCUGCUCACACUGCCUGC